UGAGCAAUCUGCCCUUCUCAUCGGAAUAAGCGUUGGAAACGACGUCUAAUGCCGAAUACGACCUCCUUUCGCAUGAUCGGAGGUGGAAAGCUCCGGCGGAGAAGGAUGAGCUCGCGGCCUAUCAGCUAGUUGGUGUGGGUAAUGGCCCACCAAGGCGACGACGGGUAGCCGGCCUGAGAGGGUGACCGGCCACACGUGGGACUGAGACACCGGCCCAGACCUCCGUACGGGAGCAG
rnacentral:rRNA from 1 species